rnacentral:rRNA from 1 species
UGCUUAACACAUGCAAGUCGAACGAUGAUGCCCAGCUUGCUGGGUGGAUUAGUGGCGAACGGGUGAGUAACACGUGAGUAACCUGCCCCUGACUCUGGGAUAAGCGUUGGAAACGACGUCUAAUACUGGAUAUGACUGCCGGCCGCAUGGUCUGGUGGUGGAAAGAUUUUUUGGUUGGGGAUGGACUCGCGGCCUAUCAGCUUGUUGGUGAGGUAAUGGCUCACCAAGGCGACGACGGGUAGCCGGCCUGAGAGGGUGACCGGCCACACUGGGACUGAGACACGGCCCAGACUCCUACGGGAGGCAGCAGUGGGGAAUAUUGCACAAUGGGCGAAAGCCUGAUGCAGCAACGCCGCGUGAGGGAUGACGGCCUUCGGGUUGUAAACCUCUUUUAGUAGGGAAGAAGCGAAAGUGACGGUACCUGCAGAAAAAGCACCGGCUAACUACGUGCCAGCAGCCGCGGUAAUACGUAGGGUGCAAGCGUUGUCCGGAAUUAUUGGGCGUAAAGAGCUCGUAGGCGGUUUGUCGCGUCUGCUGUGAAAUCCCGAGGCUCAACCUCGGGCUUGCAGUGGGUACGGGCAGACUAGAGUGCGGUAGGGGAGAUUGGAAUUCCUGGUGUAGCGGUGGAAUGCGCAGAUAUCAGGAGGAACACCGAUGGCGAAGGCAGAUCUCUGGGCCGUAACUGACGCUGAGGAGCGAAAGCGUGGGGAGCGAACAGGAUUAGAUACCCUGGUAGUCCACGCCGUAAACGUUGGGCGCUAGAUGUAGGGACCUUUCCACGGUUUCUGUGUCGUAGCUAACGCAUUAAGCGCCCCGCCUGGGGAGUACGGCCGCAAGGCUAAAACUCAAAGGAAUUGACGGGGGCCCGCACAAGCGGCGGAGCAUGCGGAUUAAUUCGAUGCAACGCGAAGAACCUUACCAAGGCUUGACAUACACCGGAAACGGCCAGAGAUGGUCGCCCCCUUGUGGUCGGUGUACAGGUGGUGCAUGGUUGUCGUCAGCUCGUGUCGUGAGAUGUUGGGUUAAGUCCCGCAACGAGCGCAACCCUCGUUCUAUGUUGCCAGCGCGUUAUGGCGGGGACUCAUAGGGACUGCCGGGGUCAACUCGGAGGAAGGUGGGGAUGACGUCAAAUCAUCAUGCCCCUUAUGUCUUGGGCUUCACGCAUGCUACAAUGGCCGGUACAAAGGGCUGCGAUACCGUAAGGUGGAGCGAAUCCCAAAAAGCCGGUCUCAGUUCGGAUUGAGGUCUGCAACUCGACCUCAUGAAGUCGGAGUCGCUAGUAAUCGCAGAUCAGCAACGCUGCGGUGAAUACGUUCCCGGGCCUUGUACACACCGCCCGUCAAGUCAUGAAAGUCGGUAACACCCGAAGCCGGUGGCCUAACCCUUGUGGAAGGAGCCGUCGAA